UAAUCAUAGAGAAGUUCAGUGUGCUUUUGUGUACUUACGUAUUGAAUAAAAAUUUUGUUGUCGAUAGAGCAACUUCGUUCGUCUUAGCAGCUAAAGUUCGCAAAACGUGCUUGUGGAUUUCCAUAUUCGAUGUUCGUCCGGAACUGGUGGUUAUUUCAUUCCCUGUCCGGGGAGUGUAGAUGCAGGCAUGAGAAGUAUUUCCUGAGGGUGUAUAUAAGGCCUUAAAAUUCGCUUUAUCUGUGACCCAGACUCAAAAGCGAAAGUGAGAGAGAAAGAAACGAGUUACCGAGGUCAGUUAAUUGGUGCUUGUGAUUAUCCCAACGCCCGUAGCAAAGAUCGAGUCCACCAAGAAAUGCGAUUGUUUGGUCUACGACGACGAUUUUCUCGUGAUGAGCCCAUAGAAGAACACCGUCUCGCAUAGGAUUUGGGUGCCGAAGUACUUUUAUAUUCUUCGAACCGCUUUCAAGGAGUUUCUGCUUGCUGUAGGAACUGUCCAACUGUAGGACGCGUUUGACAUCGUGAUAAAGCAUUACGAAUACUUUGACUCCAUUUAACUGGAAUGACGGAAAAUAAAUCUAUUAAUUUCAGUUAUUCACGUAAAAAAAUAUUUAUGACAUUUUCUCUUAUACCGAUUCAAACCUAAUUGAUCCAAAGCAACAGCAAAUGCAAAAGACAUCAACGGAUCAAUAAAAUAUUGCAUGCUCGAUGAGAUGACUGCUUCGUCAAAAUGAUGAUUCGAUCAGAAUGUGUGAAAAAUACAUUUUCAAAAUAUAUAUAUCAGCAAAUGAAGUUCGGCGAAGUGAAUAUUUUCAAUAAAUGGCUUAUUCAAUGAUAAGAAAAA